rnacentral:rRNA from 1 species
UACGAAGGGGGCUAGCGUUGCUCGGAAUCACUGGGCGUAAAGCGCACGUAGGCGGAUCUUUAAGUCAGGGGUGAAAUCCUGGAGCUCAACUCCAGAACUGCCUUUGAUACUGGGGAUCUCGAGUCCGGAAGAGGUGAGUGGAACUCCGAGUGUAGAGGUGAAAUUCGUAGAUAUUCGCAAGAACACCAGUGGCGAAGGCGGCUGACUGGUCCGGUUCUGACGCUGAGGCGCGAAAGCGUGGGGAGCAAACAGG